UCAGUUGAUUAUACUUUACUUUAAAGAACUCUUCCUUUUUUAUAGAAGUAUUGGAUGAUUCCAUACAAGAUCUGGAGGGAUUGAUGUAUAAAUAACUAUAUUUUCCAUUGUUUUGGUCAACUAACUUUCGACUUAAAAAAUUCCCUUGCUUUUGCUCAGCUUAAGCACUUUAUAAGAAAUUGGAGAAAAAGUAAUUUCGCACCUUAAGCUUUAUUUCAAUGCUUUAUAAGAAGGGUUACAAUCAUCCAAUUUAAGGCAAGUAUCCUCCGUUCGGUUUUAUAACUUGUUGCCAGCGAGAAUUCAACUCUAUAAUGCCUGUCUCAUAGAAGCCCUUGACCUUUUUGGCAAAAAACUCUGACAACUAAUUUUCACAGACCUCUAUUGAGGCUUAAUUUGUACACCCAAUCAGAUUGACCAUAGAUAAGAGCAGGUGGUAGGCCUUGACUGUAGCGUGGGUGCAUAAGACAAUCAACAUUCAGAACACUGAUCAACAUCAAAUCCGAGAGUUGACCAAACAUAAAUAGGGAAUUUUAAUGUUUAAGUUCUAAAUGUGAAACAAUAACAAACAAAUCAAUGAAGAAAAAAUAAUAAAUGAAUUGAAUUUGAGGACUGCAGUCAAGAGCUGUCUCAAUUGGAUCUCCAGUCUUUCUCUCUAGUAGUCCUUGGGUAUUGUCAUACUUUUGUUGGUAGACAGUCAAUUCUACCCAACUCAGGGACUAUUAUUCAAUAAUAGUUGAGGGAAAUGUUAACAGCUCAACAAGAAUUGAUUUACUUAUAACUAAUCAACGUUCAGAACACAAACAAUCAAUAAAAAUAAGUUUAAAACCCGACAGCUAACAAUCAAUACAGGGUUCAUUUUUAUUCUGGGAUAACUAAAGGUUGCCGUCGUGUUAACUUCUCCCUCUGAAGUAAGCAGUAUUGUCUAUCUUUGCUCUAAAAUUCGUAAUAAAAUAAAUAUAACCGGAUUGGAAUAUAAUUAUUAUAUUUUCUCUGCAAAAAUGGUAUUUUAUAUAUUUUGUAGCAGUAAUUAAUUUUCUCCCCCAAAAUCAUUUAACAGACAGCAGAUAGUAACAAGGUCCUUAAUUCAUCAGUACCAUAAGUCUUGCUCCUGCUUUCUCCAUACGCUCUUACAAAAAGUACAUCCCUAACUAUUAUAGGUUAAAAAAUAUAUGAGUCAUGACUUAUGACUACUAUUUUCCCAAACAUUCUUCAAAUUUUUAGGAUGACCGCGUUAAUUUUUGGUUUCUUUUUGUCAACAUACCAGCAUAACACAACAUAUUAUUUGAGUCUAUGGUCAGGGAUAACCCUGUGAUGUAGGUUGUUACAUCAUACGUGAUAAAUAGAAAUACAUCAUCAAUCAAACGAGUACAAAAAAUAAAAACACUAAUGAUCUCAUUAAGCCAUACACGUAAUGCAAGGAGUUUUUUAAAUUCUUCUUUUCCCAAGUCUUGUCUUCCAAAGGAAGUGCUCUCCUCCAACCGUGCGGCGAGUGGAUCGGUCAAGCUUCCAUUCUCCUGGGAUUGUGGCUGAUUCUUGAAGAACUGCAAAUAGUUAAUAAGUGGUUAAUAACAAAAUCACUCAUCAUAUUUUUAUUUAAUGUAAUUGAACGAAUACUGUUUUCACAUGACGUCAGCAUUGUUAAUGUCAGCCAUUUUCCGAGAUACAACAACCAAGUUUUCUAACAAUGAAA
rnacentral:lncRNA from 1 species